UUCGAAGAAAUACCAACCUAAAAAGAACUCAAAGGAGGAAGAAGAAUACAGGUACACGGCAUGCAAGGCCUUCGUUUCCACCCUGAACGAGAUGAGCGACUACGCCGGGCAGCACGAGGUCAUCUCGGAGAACAUGACCUCACAGAUCACGGUGGAGCUGGCCCGCUACGUGCAGGAGCUCAAGCAGGAGAGGAAGUCGCACUUUCACGACGGGCGGAAGGCGCAGCAGCACAUAGAGACUUGCUGGAAGCAGCUGGAAUCUAGUAAACGACGGUUCGAGCGGGACUGCAAGGAGGCUGACCGCGCGCAGCAGUACUUUGAGAAAAUGGACGCCGACAUCAACGUCACAAAAGCGGAUGUUGAAAAGGCUCGGCAGCAAGCUCAGGCCCGUCACCAGAUGGCCGAGGACAGCAAAGCAGAGUACUCGUCCACCCUUCAGAAGUUCAACCGCGAGCAGCACGAAUAUUACUACACGCAUAUCCCCACCAUCUUCCAGAAGAUACAAGAGAUGGAGGAGAGGAGGAUUGUGCGGAUCGGAGAGUCCAUGAAGACGUACGCCGAGGUGGACCGGCAGGUGACCCCCAUCCUCGGCAAGUGCUUGGACGGCAUCGUCAAGGCGGCCGAGUCAAUUGACCAGAAGAACGAUUCCCAGCUGGUCAUCGAGGCCUACAAGUCGGGGUUUGAGCCUCCCGGUGACAUCGAGUUUGAGGACUAUACCCAGUCGAUGAAGCGCACGGUGUCAGAGAACAGCCUCUCCAAUUCCCGAGGGGAAGGCAAGUCGGAGCUCAAAUUCGGCGGCAAGGCCAAAGGAAAGCUAUGGCCGUUCAUCAAAAAAAAUAAGCUUAUGUCCCUCUUAACAUCCCCCCACCAGCCCCCUCCUCCUCCCCCUGCCUCUGCCUCACCCUCUGCUGUUCCCAACGGCCCCCAGUCUCCCAAGCAGCAAAAGGAACCCCUCUCCCAUCGCUUCAACGAGUUCAUGACCUCCAAACCCAAAAUCCACUGCUUCAGGAGCCUAAAGCGUGGGACUCAGUCUUUCUGCUUCCACAAGGAGCUCGUGAAGAGGACGCUAGGGAAGCCCACGUGUGCUUUUGAAGCUAGGGACUACGUCCUCUCUCUCAAGCUGGGUGCAACGCCAGAGGAUUUCAGCAACCUCCCACCAGAACAGAGAAGGAAGAAACUACAACAGAAAGUCGAUGAGUUAAAUAAAGAAAUUCAAAAGGAGAUGGAGCAAAGAGAGGCCAUCACAAAAAUGAAAGACGUUUACUUAAAGAACCCGCAGAUGGGCGACCCCGCCAGCCUGGACCACAAGCUAGUGGAAGUCAGCCGCAACGUCGACAAGCUGCGCCUGGAGGCCCAGAAGUUCGAGGCCUGGCUGGCGGAGGUGGAGGGCCGGCUCCCGGCGCGGGGCGAGCAGGCCCGGCGGCAGAGCGCCAUGUUCGAAGCGCAGAACCCGCCCGCGGUGGCCAACUGCGCGCAGGACCGGGAGAGCAGCCCGGAUGGCAGUUACACGGAGGAGCAGAGCCAGGAGAGCGAGGUGAAGGUGCCGGCCACGGAGUUCGACGACGAGUUCGAUGACGAGGAGCCGCUCCCGGCCAUCGGCACCUGCAAGGCUCUGUACACCUUCGAAGGUCAGAAUGAAGGAACCAUCUCGGUGGCCGAGGGAGAGACGCUGUACGUCAUAGAGGAGGACAAGGGGGACGGCUGGACGCGCAUCCGGAGGAGCGAGGACGAGGAGGGCUACGUCCCCACGUCUUACCUCGAGGUCUAUUUGGACAAAAAUGCCAAAGGUGCUAAGACUUAUAUUUAAUACGACUUUUAAAAAAUGGAGUUGUUUCUCCCCACCACUGACCGCCGCGGGCGGCCGCGCCCGGCCGGAGCCUCGUGGACUCCGGAAUGUUCCUGGCUCCUUUGACCAUAAUCAAGUUUCACUGGCCGAUGAAAUUUUAUGUGGAAAGCUGCCAACUGCCAGUUCACAACUGUCACUCGCAAUCUGAUAAAGCUUUCGGCAGCAGCCGGAGGGGACAAGGCAAAAGUCACCUUCCGGCCUGAGUGUCUCUGGCCUCGCGCGCACCCAGGUGCCAGGCGCCGGCUCACGGCUGUCUCGGCCGCGUACACCAGGCGCCUCAGACGGUUUGGUGACUUAGGGCGCCGAGCGAGGCGAGGCUGUUGGUGUUCACGAUCUUCCCUCCGGAGGCGUCAGCCCGACGGCUGCGCCUUCUCAGGGAACCGUGACAGGAUGGUGGCGGGGGCCCGGGGCGCUCUUCCUCGUCUUGGUUGUGACCACGGUGAGGGCGCCCUCAUCACCCUGUGACGUCCCCACCGGCACGGAGGUCCCGGAGGUCCCGGAGGGUCGGCCCCCACCCAGAGAGAGGCUCUGCGGCAGCGCCGGGCUGUGAGACCGACACCAGCACGGUGCCUGGGUGGGGGGCGCACCCCCAGGUGGGCUAGGAAGAGAAGCCAGCGGCGGCCGCCUGCACACAGCCCGGCCCGCAGGACGCACACCCCACCACUCUUGGGGGCUUUAGUUCUUGCCAUACUAUGACCCCAGUGUGAGAGCACUGAAUGUUCCAGAAAUUCUAACUUAAUUUAUGUAAUUAACUCAUCAGAAUUAACAAGUUUCACGUUGUUAACGCACCCGGGUGGCGGGUUGGGGGGCGGGAGGGGGAGGAAUUUAAAUUGGGCCCAGGCCGAGGUGGGUCACAGGUGGAGGCCCGAGGGUGCCCAGCAGCGUGGGCAGGCAGUGGUGAGGUCAGGACUGGGGCCUACUUGGCUGUGGCCGUCCUGUUCUUUAGCAGGGGGAGCCCCUGGCCUGCCUGGGCUUCCCGUGGCCAGCGCAAGCCCACAGAGAGCCGCUUGUCAGGCCGGGGCAGUGGGGUGGGCUGUUGCCAGGCACUCACGCGCCUUCAAGCACCAAGCUUGCUCCACUUCUAGAGGUCACUACUAGGGAAUGUGACGACCUCUCCUAAGUGACCACUGGUGCCCGCCAGGGAGGUUCUCGGGGCGCCCCUCCCGCCAGCCCUAGUGCCCACUGGACCAGGGCAGGGCAGGGGGCACAAGACACUGAUGUGAUCAGGCCGAUUCUUUUGAAUGUCACCCAGAUCUCAGCCUGCCUGGGCUGACUCAGACCCCCCCGGCCCCGGGCUGGUUUCUGCCCCAAGGACCCAGAGGAACAUCAGCUGACCCAAAUCUCAGGCUUUUCCCAGGAGCGGUGGGAGGUCACAGCUUUAGGGGUGACCCCAUGCGUGGGGGACCCGAGGCGUCCCAACCUCACCUGUAGCUCCCACCAGUGGACGACUGGCCAUGCCUAGCGUGUGCUGCAGCAGCCUCGGGGCCAGGCAUGUGGGUGGGCCUCUGAACCCCACCGCGCUCCCCGGCAGUCCAGGGAGCCUGUGUGCUUGGAGCUGAGCAACCCGAACUAGCUGGGUGCGGGGCUGGGGCGGGAGCGGGUCGGCUCCACAUCUGUGGUCUUGCCCCCUGGAGCCCCCAGACCACGGCUGGGAGAGGACCCGCAGCCUCGGGCUAGCGGGUCACGCUGCAGAUGAGCAGAGCACUGGGACAGCCCCACCGAACCCGGAAAUUUCCAUCUCCAGCCAGGGCCGACGGGUCCCCCAAGAGUUACGGGUUUGAAGGAAAGGGUCUCGUCAGCUCGCAGACUCUCGUACUCAGCCACACUAGCGCUCAGACCCGGGCAGGCUGAAGCUUCCGCACCGUUACGCGCCUGGGAGCCCCCGUGCGUGCUUGGCGCUCGGGGCUGCCAAGUGCUCUGAACCCGCAGCAGCUGUCCGCUUCCAGCGGCCCGUGUGCGCAUGCUGCCCGCGUGCUGCCCACGAGCGACUGUUCGCAGUUGCCAACUCUCAGCCUCGCGUGUGCGCGGCGACUGGCCGAGCGCCGGUCCCCGGUGGCCUCGCCCCUCCCGCCCACGCACGGUCUGUGCUGCCAUUUGAAACGGGAAGGGUGACUGGAAUUCGUUGUUUUAACGUUUUACUCUUUUAUCUGUUUGUUUUAUUGGUGAUUCUGCUGCCUAAUGACCUUUGGGUUUUUGUAACCGCUGGGGAGCCGGAAGGACCCGGUAGCUGGGGCCCCGCCGGCUGCUCCGCACUUGAGUUUAUUGUAGACACUGGGUUCUGAAUGCCUAGAGGAUGAGGGAGCCGCCUCGCCUGGCCUCUGGAGCCGUCUGGAGGACCCCUGCGGUCUGCUGGUCUCCGAGGGCCCCUGGCCCCCGCUGCUGGAGUCGCAGCCGAGUGACCAGGUCCUACGCCCUCAGCCGCUCGCCUUUUUUCUUUUCACAGCAUGCUUCUCCCCAUCAGGUCUGGCCUCCUCUUGGGGGUUCCCAGCCGCCACCAUAGGGGCCCCUCCUUCCUGGGUCCCACCUCGGCCUCCUUCGCCCCCGUCUGCCCGUCCCUGUUCACACUGUGCCUUUUGUGAAAGCUCCCCACUGUCUCUGGGAGGCCUCAGCACCUGGGUGGGCGGGCUGAGCGCGGCCCCUGUUGUUUGAAAACACUCAUCUCUCCCCAACUCUGUUGCACAUUCUGUGGGUCCUUCCGCAUUGCAAAUGUGGGCCUGGAGGCAUUUCCCAGCCAUGUGUCUGUGCUAGAGGGGCAUGCACCCCCCCACACCCAGGCCCGUCCCUGGGGCCCUCCUGUUCCUGCUGGCCUGGGAAGGCCCAGCACCAAGUGUGCUCCAGCCUUCUGUGUCCCUGCCAUGGCCCGGCCCUCCCCAGCUCCCAGAGCCAGGACCAGACGCUGAUUCCUCAGGAGUGAGUCUCUACUGUAUGGCUCACCCCAAGGGGCAGCCCCCCUUCUCACCAGGAAGCCCCUGAUUGGUGUUUCAGGACCUGGCCCAGACCAGGCCCAGACCCCUGGCUCCUGCGAGUAGGCGCUGCCCUCUCUGCAGGCCUGCACUGCUGCCCCCCGGUGUGCUUUGGGGGACUGGAGGCGGCUCCUCUCCCCACCGUUGAGGACGAAGUUACACAGCCAGGGCCGCCCCAGCAGUGAGACAGGCGGGGAAGUGGCCAGCUGGGAGCUUUGUGGAGGCCCAGGGGAGCCCGGGCACGGACGGCACCCCCCCUUUUGCUUGGCUUUGGGUAGCUGGUACUCCGCGGCACCCUCGGCUCUCCCUGCACUGAUGAAUCCAAGACAGGGUCGUUUUCUAGGAGCCCAAGGGCCAGGGCCAGAAACCACAGGCCCUAAGCCGGGCCCUGGCUCCGUGGCAGCACAGGGGCCCCUCUGAGCCCCGCUGGGCCCCACGUCACCUCCGGCAGCGGCACAGCCAACCCGAGGCGG